rnacentral:pre_miRNA from 1 species
AGGAGCAACAGCCCCAGUGGCGGGGCCAGCUCUGGAGCCCUGGAUUCAGCCCCCGCAGGAACUCCGGAGCUCUCCGUCUGCAGGGCCUGGAGGCUCCGGGGCGGG